rnacentral:ncRNA from 1 species
UCCCUGAAUGUAAUCGAGGGAGUGACUCUCGCCAGAGAGGCGAGGGCCGGAGCAAGGUCAGCUUCUGCAAAUUAUUAACUUGGAUGCAGAGACCACAUCCUUGAAU